AGCGAACGCUGGCGGUAGGCCUAACACAUGCAAGUCGAACGGCAGCACAGUAAGUGCUUGCUCUUACGGGUGGCGAGUGGGGGACGGGUGAGGUAUAUAUCGGAAUUUACUUUUUCGUGGGGGAUAAUGUAGGGAAACUUACUCUCAUACAGAAUACGAUCUACCGGGGUAUGCGGGGGAUCUAUAGACUUAUCGCGAUUGAAUGGGCCCAUGUCGGAUUAGCUAGUUGGUGGGGUAAAGGCCUACCAAGGCGACGAUCCAUAGCUGGUCUGAGAGGAUGAUCAGCCACACUGGGACUGAGACACGGCCCAGACUCCUACGGGAAGCAGCAGUGGGGAAUAUUGGACAAUGGGCGAAAGCCUGAUCCAGCAAUGCCGCGUGAGUGAUGAAGGCCUUAGGGUUGUAAAGCUCUUUUACCCGGGAUGAUAAUGACAGUACCGGGAGAAUAAGCUCCGGCUAACUCCGUG
rnacentral:rRNA from 1 species